GGCUGUCACAAGGGUGGGUUUCCUACCCAGAGAUCCUGCUUUCUGGAGGGUUUGGCAAGCUCUGAUCCUUGGGAAAGCAGCCUUUGGCAUCCUUCACAUCAGCUCAGGAGCGCUGUGUUGAAAGUCCUUGCUCCUACUUGGCAGGAUGGUGUAUCCACCAAGCCAUCGAGCUCUGAUGAAGCAUCAGUUCAUCAUCAUCUGACAGAUACAGGAUAAGAACUCCUCAUGUAAACUCCUUUGCUAUCACACAUCUGCAUGAGCAUGGACAGCUUCUCCUCAUCCAGGAUGGCUGAAGACAGUAUGUGUAGGAAAAAUGAAAGUGGUUAAAUCACUCAGGACUGACUGAAGACAGAUAUGAAUUCUGGUCUCCCAGGAUGAAAGUUGCUCACAUGACCACCCUGGAGAACACUUUAGUGGGAGGUUUUUCCAAACACUUGG
rnacentral:lncRNA from 1 species